AACGCGAAGAACCUUACCUACACUUGACAUCCCUUGCAUUACUCUUAAUCGAGGAAAUCCCUUCGGGGACAAGGUGACAGGUGGUGCAUGGUUGUCGUCAGCUCGUGUCGUGAGAUGUUGGGUUAAGUCCCGCAACGAGCGCAACCCUUGUCGUUAGUUACUACCAUUAAGUUGAGGACUCUAGCGAGACUGCCUGGGUUAACCAGGAGGAAGGUGGGGAUGACGUCAAAUCAUCAUGCCCCUUAUGUGUAGGGCUACACACGUGCUACAAUGGCUGGUACAGAGAGAUGCAAUACCGCGAGGUGGAGCCAAACUUAAAAACCAGUCUCAGUUCGGAUUGUAGGCUGAAACUC
rnacentral:rRNA from 1 species